rnacentral:lncRNA from 1 species
AGGACACGACCGAUCUCAAUCGAGCAUAAGCUAAAGGCAAAAUUGGUUAUAUAGCAUCAAAAGUUCACGUUUUUUGUUUUAUAGCACCAAGCUCUUCAAUUUAAAGAAGGUAUGCAAUUUUCUGCAACGUGUUCUUCUUGUAGCGCGUCGUUACGCUUGGAAGAGGAAAUAACCACAUUGAUAAAGAAGGUUAAAUAUUGAAAGACUAGAUCUAAUACACUUCUCUUGAUGCCGCAACAGGCCGUCAGGUUGGUUUUGGUGGGCUAAACAAUGAACAUUAUAUCCGUAAGGACAUUCUUGAAGAAUCAAAGAUACUGGUUCACUUUAAUAGCACUCAAAGUUCACCCAGUUCCCAUUUUUAACACUUCCGUCAAUUCUCGAUCGUUUUCUGUCCGCCUUGAUCGCUAUUGACCCAGUCACGCACACGAUAUGAUGUUUCUACCCUCAUUGACAUGCAUUCUACUUGUACUUGUGAGGGGUAGAUACGUUAUAUCACGUGUGUGGCUAGGUCAAUAGCGAUCAAGGCGAACGAAAAACGGUCGAGAAUUGACGGAAGUGUUAAAAAUGGGAACGGAAUGAAUUUUGGGUGCUAUUAAAGUGAACCGGUAUCUUUUGGUGCUAUAAAACCAAAAAUGUAAACUUUCGAUGCUAUAUAACCAAUUUUCCCUAAACCGGAACCACUACGGAGAUGAAGAAAAAAUUCAUCACACUUUUAAGUUGGUAGUAUAUAUCAUAGAGCUAUGAAUAUACAUUUUGUAUCCAUUAUCAUCCAUCACAACACACCCUCAGUCUCUAGCUUGUAAGCUGUAACUACAAUAUCUGUUUUGUAGUACCUAGUAGGCCAGAAUCUCUGGUUCUCCUUGUAUACCUGAGAAAUAUCUAUCCAUUAUAUGCUUAGGCUGCGUUCGGAUGAGGGGGUUUCUAACCCCUCUGCCUCGUUUUCCGCACGCACGCUUUUCAAACUGCUAAAUGGUGUGUUUUUUUUAAAAAAAUUUAUAUACGAAAGUUGCUUUUAAAAAAAUCAAAUUAAUCCUUUUUGGAAAAAAUAAAUAGCUAAUAUUUAAUUAAUCACGCGCUAAUGGACCGCUCUAUUUUUCGUGUGGUGGAGUUGGGUUCCCAACCCCAAGUAUCAAACACAACCUUAGAAAUGUACACAUAUUCUAGCUUUAUCGAACAUUUAAAUUCUUGUUAUCAAAUUUCCAUUUCAUAACAUCUUGAUGGUUAGAGAAUGUUUGGUUAUUGCAUAAAUGAAUAACCUGGUUCCAAGCAACUGGUGUUGAUAAACCCAGAACAAGUUGCCAUAUUCUUGAACAAAGCAAGCAGGCUGCAGAGUUAGUUCACAGAGAAAUUUUGAAGCAGCCAAGCAACUCACCAUUCUACCCAACUAUCUUAAGAUGCUCGAGGAAGCAUAGCUAAUAGGUAGUGUAAACAUAAAUGCCUACUGUGAAUUUGGUAGGUAACUUAACACACUACUAUCUCCUCUUUCAAAUGCUUGUCAUUUCAAGGAACAAGAAAGAAAGUCACUUAAGAACUUGAGUCAGUAGGAAUCAAAAGACUUAUUGCAAGCACUGAAUUUUAUCUUCCCUCCGACAUAAUAGUCAUAGAUGAUGCACCAGACACGGUGCCAAUGCUUGUCGCCGACCGGGGGCCGCCCGACAUGAUGAAUGAAUCGAACCCUUCGUUUUGCAUUAUCGCCAUCAUGCUAUAGCUCACGUAGCUCGGCGAUAGGUCAGGAGCCGACUUACCGCCACGCUCCAGGUAUUGCAUGACAUUCCGCAUGCUGGGCCUCGCACCGGGUAGCGGGUGCGAACACAACAAACCCAGCUUCAGAACGAGGGCCACCUCCUCCACAUCGAACUUCCCCGUGAGCCGUGGAUCCGCCGCACCAACGAUCGAGCCAUUGCGGUGGUGCUCAAGCACCAAGUCGACUAGCACCACCCGUUUGUUGUGCUCGUCGGUCUCGAUCGGCCUCCGCCCGCAUGUCACCUCCAAUAAGAACACCCCGAAUGCGAACACGUCGGUUAAGGGUGACGCCUUCCCUGUACGGACGAGCUCUGGUGCUAGGUAGCCCAUGGUGCCAACCACAUGUGUUGUUUUGGGGUCGGUGCCAUGGUCGUACAGCCUUGCCAGGCCAAAAUCACCUAGCCGCCCGUUCAUUGCACUGUCUAAGAGCACGUUGCUCGCUUUUAUGUCUCGAUGGAUGACUACUUGCUCCCAAUCCUCGUGUAGGUACAACAAACCUGAUGCGACGCCUUUGAUGAUCCAGAGCCGCUCGGGCCAAAAUAGAGUUGUAACAUUUCUCUCAUGCAAGUACUUGUCAAGACUACCAUUCGCCAUGUAAUCGUACACCAACAGGAGUUCAUUCUUGCGGCGGCAAUAGCCUAGUAACUGCACGAGAUUCCGAUGUCGAAGUCGGCCAAUGCUCACCACUUCCGCGACGAACUCCCUUAUACCUUGCCUUGAAUCAUGUGAAACCCUCUUCACCGCAAUCUCCAAAUUGGACUCCGGUAGCACCCCUCUGUAAACUCUCCCAAACCCUCCAACACCCAGCAAAUUUCUAUCCUUGAACCCAUCCGUCGCGCGGAACAAAUCCUUGUAUGCGAACCGGUGCGGACCAAACUCAUCCUCCCAAUCUUCCCGCACCUCGGCGAAGCGGCGCCGCCGCCGCACGACGAAGAAGACGGCAGCUAGCACCGCAGCGACGAGAAAUGCGGUGGCCAGCGGAAGCACAAUGUCCAGGACCUUGGACCGAGGCUUCGGACCGAAGCGUGGCAGCCGGGGAAGCUUGGAGAGAUCGAGGGGAGGAGCUGGCCCGUCGAAGCCGAAGCUCCAGCCGAGCACGUAGUGGUGGGUGUUCACGACGCCCGUCGCCGACGAGAAGCCGACGUACAUCUCCUCGGCCAUGACCGUGGAGAGGUCGAUGGCCUGGGAGAGCAGAGGCUUCUUGGGCUUAGGCACUUGCACGGGAGACAGCGUCACGUUGAGCUGCUUGGCCUGGCCGUCGUAGUCCACCCACACCUGCAUCGGCUGGCGGCUGUUCAGCCUGAGCUCACGGAAGGCGCCGUCGCCGUCGCCGUAGUAGCCGGCCGGCCGUGCCUGCGUCGACAUGAGGCUGUUGGCGUCGAUGCCGACGUGGUUGCUGCUGAUGUCGUGGAACUCGGGGUUCAUGAUGGUGUCCAGCUCGACGGCCAGGAUUUGGCCGCUCGCCGUGCCGUUCGUCGCGUUGAGGAAGCCCAGGUACUGCCCGGCGUUCGCCGCCGAGAGGUUCGCCGUCGGCGCGACCACGAACGCGAGCCCGUGGUCGCUCAGGCCGUCGUACCCGGACACGAUGGCGAACACGAAAGCCGUGGAGAAGGACCGCGCCACGUCGGCUCCGGCGCCACCGCUGGCGUUCGCCCCCGCCGCCGCCGUGGAGGACUCGCCGAGGAAGCGGAGAGGCGCCGGGUGAAACGCGUGCGCUUUCGCCUGGUACGUGAAGUUGGUGAGCACGAGGAGCCCGCUCGCCGUGACGGUGGCGAGGCCGUCCACGGUAAGGUUCGCCGCCGCGAACCCCUGGUACGUGAACUGGCCAUCGCCGCCGGCGGCCGAGGCCACCACCACGUCGUUGCUCAAGCUGAACACGAGGAGAAGAACGAAGUGUGCAGAAAAUUUGGCAAUCAUACGACCCAUUUUUUUUCCCGUGACACUUCGCCUUGACGCCUCUUAAGGAUAUUGUAGCAAUUGGCUAACAUAAACUGCUUGGCUUAUGAUCGAGUGGUUGGGUGUCGAGCGAUGAGAGCUGAAAGAUUCAGAUCGACAAGGACAUGUUUUGGCACGAACAGACAACCAUCAGCCGGCCGGCGACCAUUAACCCAGUACACUUUGGUGGAUGGAUUAUUGAAUUUGUUAUCAAUGUCAAGUAGUCAGCAACAACACUGUCUUCACGGAGAUACUCCCUCCGUCCUAAAAAAAGACAAACCCUGAGUUUUCGUGUCCAACGUUUGACCGUCCAUCUUAUUCAGUUAAAUGUUGGACACAGAAAUUAAGGGUUUGUCUUUUUUUUAGGGGGCAGAGGGAGUAUCUUGCUAGCGAUGGCUGCACUCCGCAUGCGUUGAUCAUCCUGUCCAAUAGUGAUUACUGGAUCGGCAAACAUCAACGUCGGCGGCUGCAAGUUUCAGAGGCGUGUGCCUUGGUAGGCGCCGUGCCCUGCAGGGUAAGACGACUACUCUCUCGCCGUCCUGAUUUUCGCAUAGAUCGAUUUAAUUUUCGUACUUUCGACGGUGACUCUUCUAGGUUGCUGGACAAAAAAAUUGCAUUCUGUCGAACACAUCGAUCGAGAAGUAGUAGCACUUGAGCAAUAUAGUGGUCAAAGAGACCAGAGAUUAUUAUUCAGAGAUUGUUUUUACCUGUUUCAAAGGACUCUCUCUCUCUCUCUCUCUAAGAAAACUUUUCUGAAGAAUCAAUGGACUUGUGGACUGCUCUGCUAGCUGCCGUUUGGAUGCUGGUGCCUUUGUUCUACGCUACUAUUCUAGUUUCAACGAAGUAGUAGAAGAUGAGGUUUUGACUCCUGACAGUGAGAUGUUUCUACUUCACAAGGAUCAGUCUUGGUUUCAAACGUCUCAAUUUGCGAAUGAUUUUGACAAGCACUGUGGAGGAGAUUCUAGCUAUCGUCAUAUGGCGGUCCAUAGUUUGAUAAAUUCAUUUGGCCGGCGCCGCUUCAAUUAAUACUUGUCAAUUUAUACGUUUAGUCUUUGUAUGAUAGGUACUGAAGGGCGUUCAAUGGCCUGAACUGAAGAUGGAUCACAUGCGUUCAUUUAAGUUCAUGAAAGAAACAGAAGCAGCUGCUGCACAACACCACCAAUCGGAUUAGCUAGAUCCUAAAGACUACAUCCAUGAAAACUAGCACCUUGCUUUCUCUUGACAGGAAAUUUUUGUAGAUGCACGUAAAACUUGUGAUUAAUCAUGACAAGUCCUACUGUAGAGUGCAAGAGUCCGCAUGAAUAUUUGUAUUGGCAGUACUAGUUAGUUGUAAUAGCCCGACAGCCGUUACCUCCUCCUCCUUCGGCGAUGGCUACCAGUCAGUAGCGGUGGGUAAACAAUCUGCUUCCUUCCAAUAACAUAUUGUGUUAUUGAUGCGCAAGUCUUUUUGCGUGUUCGCCAAAGAAAAAUAGCAGCGCUAGUUUUUCUUUCUAUCAAGAGUAGUUUUAUACUCUUGGUUAUGUACUUUCUAUUAUAAAACUAGGUAUUACUUUUUUUUUAGAAAAAAACCUUUUGAUACUUUUCAAGAUUGCUACUUAACUGUUUAGUGCAUCCCGAUGCUGUAUCAAACUAUGAACAUAAUCAAGACAGAAGAAUCUCGAUUUCAUAGUACAAGGAGAACAAGAUAGUUAAAGCAUCUAGUUACACCGUUAACAUACUCUUAACUGCAAUGCUACAAGCACCAUUUUUGGCCCUACUUUGGGAGUAUCUGAUGUGUGCCUUUUUUUUUUGAAUUUUUAGCCCCCUAAACAGUCCAUUAUAAUUCAGAAAAUAAACUAGAAGUAAUAAACUGAGAAACCCGAUUUUUCAUAUCCUCACCAACUGCUUCUCAAAAUCACGAGCUCCCUUCCUUUGUCACCUUCCUCCCGAGAUAUCAGAAAUGGCACCCAUGCUUGCUGAUGAGAUGUAUGAAAUGGAAUUGCGGUUGAACUCCUUGUACAUCCGCUCUAGUGAAGUGAAGCUUAGGUACGUCGGUGACAAAUCCGGUAGGGCCAUAUCACCGUCGAGGUACUGAGCGACCUGCCGCAUUGUUGGCCUAGCAUUGGGCAAUGGAUGCGAGCAGAGCAGCCCAAGUUUUAGAACCAGAGAAACCUCGUCAGGAUCAAAACAGCUCGGAAUCCUCGCGUCCACCACGUUAACAAGUGCACCCUUGCUCCACUGCUCAGUCACCCAGUCCACAAGCACGGCACGGUUGCCGUGCUCAUCCUGCACGAUUGGCCUUCUUCCGCAGGUGACCUCGAGGAGGAAUGCGCCGAACGCGAACACGUCGGUUGAUGGGGUUGCCUUGCCGGUGUGCCCCAACUCAGGGGCUAGGUACCCCAUAGUGCCGACCACAUGUGUUGUCUGUGCAACAGCUCCGUGAUCAUACAACCUUGCGAGGCCAAAGUCGCCUAGUCGACCGUUCAUCUCAUCGUCGAGGAGCACGUUGCUUGCCUUGACGUCUCGGUGGAUGACAACGUGUUCCCAAUCCUCGUGAAGGUACAGUAGCCCAGACGCCACUCCUCUGAUGAUGUGGAAUCUCUGAGGCCAACUUAGUGGGUGCUUGCUUCCAUCGUAAAGGUAUUUGUCGAGGCUACCUUUUGGCAUGUAAUCGUACACCAAGAGAAGUUCACCUUUACGACGGCAAUAGCCGAGUAGUUGCACGAGGUUGCGGUGUCGCAAGCGACCGAUGCUCGCGACCUCUGCGACGAACUCCUUCAUCCCUUGUCUUGAUUCGUGUGACACCCUCUUCACUGCGACCUCCAUGUCGGGCUUGCGGAGCACGCCUCGGUACACGCUCCCGAACCCUCCCGUGCCAAGGAGGUUCUUGUCGCUGAAUCCCUUGGUCGCAUGGAACAAGUCCUUGUAGGAGAAUCGGUGCGGCCCAAACGCGGUCUCCCACUCCUCCCGCAGCUCGGCGUACCUGAGCCGCCGCCUCGCCAUGGCGUACACCGCCAUGGCCACGGCGGCGACCAGCGCCGCCGACGCUAUGGGCAGCACGAUCUCCAGCACCUUCGACCGCGGCUUGGGCCAAGCCCGCGGCAACGGCGGUAGCGACGAGAUGUUCAGCGGCGGGGCUGGCCCGUCCACCGCGAAGCUCCAGCCUAGCACGAAGUGGCGCGAGAAGAGGAUGCCCGUCGCCGACGCGAACCCGACGUGCGCCGCGCCCGUCGCGACGUCGGAGAGGUCGACGUUGGUCCGCAGCAGCGGCUUCUUGGGCCUGGCCGUGCCCAGGGGAGCCAUGGCCACGGUGACCUCCGUGCUCCCGCCGUCGUAGUCCACCCACGCCUGCAUGGGCUUCCGGCUGAUCAUGGUCAGGUUCCGGAACUGGCCGGUGACGUCAUCGUAGUAGCCGGCGUCGGCGGCCUUGACCGACGUCAGGCUGUUGACGUCGACGCCGACGUGGUUGCUGUUCAGGUCGUGGAACUCGGCGUUGAAGAGCGUGUCGAACUCCACGGCGAAGACGCCGGCGGCGCUCCGGUUGCCGGUGGUGGCGCCGGUGCCGUUGAAGAGGCCCAGGAACUGGCCAGGCAGCGCGGCGGCGAACGCGUCCGCGGACGCGGAGACGAAGAAGGCCAGGCCGUGGCUGCUGAAGUCGGCGUACUGCCCGAAGAUGGCGAACACGAACGUCGUCGAGAAGGACCUCGCCGCGCGGAGCGGGAGCGGCGACGGGUGGAACGCGUGGCCUUUCAUCUGGAUGGACCCGUUGGUCAGCAUGAGGAGGCCGCUCGCCGUGACCGUGGCCGCGCCGUCGAGGGUGAGGUUGGCGCCCGAGAAGCCAUCGUACGCGAACUGCAGGCCGCCGCUGCCGCCGGUGGCCGCGGCGCAGCGGUCGGCAGCCGCGAGGAGGAGCAGGAGCAGAGUGAAACAGUGGAAAGGCUCACGAAGCAUGGUGUUUGCAUCACUUCGCCGUGGCGCAGCUAGCUUGUUUGCUUGUCGAUUCGACUGUCUGAAUUCGAUCUCUGAAUUUCUGAACAGCAAAUCGAUUUGGAGAGGCUUUUUGUCCCUGUUUGCAGGGAGAAAAUUCUGGGAACCUACUGACUGACUGACUGAAUAAUCAUGCAUGGAUGGGUCAUGAGUCCAACAAUUUGCGCUAGCUGCUCGCGCUGCGAUCAGGUCAAUUUCACCCAAUCUUUAAAACCUGGAAAUGUGAUAUAAUAACCGGAGUGCUGAGGCCCUCUUUGUUUAUGCUUAUAAGCCAACUUAUAAGCCGAAAUGUCUAAGUCUAAACAAACAAGCAAUUUUUUCGUUUGACUUUUUUGAAGCCAUAAGUCACUUUAACACUAUUAAGCCAAAAGCUAGGUUAAAGAAGUUUUUUUUGGCUUAUAUGAGGUAGAUGUAUGACUCCACCACUAAACUUAGAACAUUAAAUCCAUUGGCUUAUAAAUCAUAUAAGUCAAUAAGCUGACUUAAAAGUCUAAGUCAAUAAGCCUAAGCUUAAACAAAGAGGGCCUCAAUAUGCUGGUCAACUUUCAACAACUCUUGCGAUGCAAAUGAUAUUUGUUGAUAACAUAUCUUUAGUUAGAACUACUAUACCACGCCUUUAAUGAAUAUAUAUAUGUUGGUUAUUUGCUAAAUUAUACGCAAAUUUACAACUUGCUAACUAUUACCUCCAAAUUUAAGCACGAUCAAAUUUAAUGAUAAUUAAAACUAAAAAAAAAUAAAUGACAGUGCCGUUCGACUCAGCGUUUUGGUUGAGUUUAUAUCCAGCACGCAAAAUGAGACGUGUCAUUAGCAAGUGAUUAAUUAUAAACUAGAAAAUAAAUUUAUUUAAUUUUUUCGAGAAACUUUUAUAUAGGAAAAAAAUGUACAUAAUGUGUUGUUUGGCAGUUUGGGAAAUAUGGUAAUGAAAAAUAAGGAAGUUGCCAUUUAAGUUACUGAAAAGACCUCAGCCUUAGCCCUAUUGUGUCAAAGGCUCAAAGCCCUCCUCUUUGUCUAAAUAAUAGAAUAAACUCAAAAUAACAAAAUAAAAUACUUGAUAAUGAUUAUUAGUAAAUUUUUGAAAUUUUGAAAUUAUCUUUUGUAUUAUGCCGUAUCUUUGAGUGCUUUGUUUGCAAUAAUAAGUAAAUAAUAUAAAAUCCAAAAAAGUAUAAAUUUUUUUAACCUAAAUUCUAUUGAUUAUAAACCCCAAUUUUAUCACAAGUGAAGAAAAGUUAAAUCUAAUUGAAAACUUGAACUAAAGUAACUGAGUACACUUUUCAACAUUUAUCUUAUAUUCUGUAAACAAAUACUCCCUCCGUUUCACAAAGUAAGUCAUUAUAACAUUUCCCACAUUCAUAUUGAUGUUAAUGAAUCUAGAUAGAUAUAUAUAUGUCUAGAUUCAUUAACAUCAAUAUGAAUAUGGGAAAUACUAGAAUGACUUACAUUGUGAAACGGAGGAAGUAGUUAUCUUCUUAAAAAGAUAUUAAAAAUGUUUUUCUUUCCUCGAAAGGGUCAUUUCCCAAAAAUCGUAAAUUCAAACCUUUGGUUUUAAAUACAAAUUCAGGAACUCAAAUAUAUUAUAUUAUUAAAACAGCUUUGAAAGGAGGUACCACGUUUGCUGUGGGGGCUAAAAAUUUUCACAUUAAUCGGAGAAAAAGAAAAAGAAAAGAAAAGAAGAGUCCAAGUAGAAAUACAAUCUAAAAAUAGCUGAAAUUCGGAAUUAAAAAUAAGCAAUAUUGAAGGAAGUUUCCAUAUAAGAACCCAAUACGAGAUUAAUUAAAAUUCGAAAUAAAAAUAAAAUAAAAUCUAAAAUUAGAAAAAAAAAGAGAGAGUCCAAGUAGAAAUAAAAUUUAAAAAUAGCUGAAAUUCGGAAUUAAAAAUAAGGAAUAUUGAAAAAAGUUUUCAUAUAAGAACCCAAUAUGAGAUUAAUCAAAAUUCGAAAUAAAAAUAAAAUAAAAUCCAAAAUUAGAAAAGAAAAUGAUAGUCCAAGUAGGAAUACAAUUUUAAAAUAGUUAAAAUUCAGAAUUAAAAAUAAGGAAUAUUAAAAGAAGAGUCCGUAUAAGAACCUAAUACGAGAUUAAAUAAAAUUGGGAAUAAAAAUAAAAAUAAAAUCCGAAAUUAGCAAAAAAAAAACAAAAGAAGAGCUCAAGUUGAAAUACAAUUUAAAAUUAGCUGAAAUUCAGAAUUAAAAAUAAGCAAUAUUGAAAGAAGAAUCCAUAUAAGAACCCGAUACGAAAUUAAUUAAAAUUCAGAAUAAAAAAUAAAAUAAUAUCCAAAAUUAGAUAAAGUAAAUGAGAUUUCAAGUAGGAAAACAAUAUUGAAACAACUGAAAUUGAAAAUAAAAAAUAAAAAUAUUAAAAGAACAUAAUACGAUAUUAAUUAAUUUUUUUUAAAAAAAUCUGAAAUUAGAAAAAAGAAAAAUAAGAUUCCAAUUAAGAAUACAAUUUAUAAAUAACUAAAAUUUGUGAUAAAAAUAAAGACUAUUGAAAGAAAAGACCAUGUAAAACACAUGACGAGAUAAAUUAAGUAACAGGCAUAUAAAGGAGUAGAGUGGUGGCGGUUGAUACGACAUAAAAAAAUUGUUAAUGAAACACCAAAUAGAAUCCUAAUGACGAUUAAAAGGAGGGGCGACAGGGAGGCCGUAAAGCAAACGAUCAAGGCGAUUGCCGGGACUUCUAGAAAGUAAAAAAAAUAAACCCCAUUGAUAAUCAUAUUUGAUUUUUAAAAUCUCAAUGACAAUAAAAAGGAGAAGCAGUGGGCGGGGUGUAUAGGAGUAUAGUUGCAGAGCUGCCGACGGUUGACGGGACUUCUAAAAAAUAAAAAAUGAAUUCCAACGAUAGUUAUGUUCGAUUUUUAGAAUCCCAAUGACAAUAAAGAGUAGGCGGCGGACGAGCCGUAGAGGAGCAUAGUGACAUCGUUUGACAAGACUUCUAAAAAUUAUAAAAAAAUAAAGCCCAACAAGACAAUAAACUCUAAAAACUACAAGGUUCAAUUUUUGAAGGUUCGGAACUUCUAAAAAGUAAAAAAAAAACAAUGAUAAUCAUAUUCGAUUUUAAAAUCUCAAUGACAAUAAAGAAGGGAGGUAGCGGGCGAGCCGUAGAGAAGUACAAUGGCAAUGGCAAAGUCACUGACGGUUUGGCGGGACUUCUAGAAAGUAAAAAUGAACCUAAAUGAUAAUUAUGUUUGAUUUUUAAAAUCUCAAUGACAAUAAAGAGAAGAGAUAGUAGACGGGUCAUAGAGGAGUAUAAUGGCAACGUUUGACAUGACGUCUAGAAAUUAUAAAAACGAAACUCAACGUGAAAAUAAACUCUAAAACCUAUAAGAUCCAAUGUUUAAAGGUUCUAAGGAGAAUGAAUAGAAAUAGUGGUAGAUCGAGCAAGCAAAUAAAGAAGAAGAUGACAUAAGGGGUAGUAUCUGGUGUGACUUUUAAAAUAAUAUAUAAUUAGAAACAUGGGGAUGAUAAGGUUUGGUCUUUCAAACUCUUAAGACAAUAAGAUAGCUAUUUAAUAAAUUUUUAGUAAAAUCAUAAAAAAAAUAUAUAAUUUUGUUUGGGUGCUAGCCGCGCAAUUGCGUGGGCAACCCAGCUAGUUCUUUUCAUAACCUAGAAAAAUCCCAUAAAUACCUUAGGCUUCGUUCUUCCUGGGAGAUCUAGGAGAUUGAGAGAGAAAAACAUCUCGUUUUCCACGCGCACGCUUCCCAAACUACUAAAUGGUGCGUUUUUUGGAAAAAAAUUAUAUAGGAAAGUUGCUUUAAAAAUCAUAUUAAUCCUUUUUUGAAAUUUAAAAUAAUUAAUAAUCAAUUAAUCAUGAGCUAAUGGCUCACCUCGUUUUGCGUAUACUACAAAAUGCCUUUAUAAUGAAACUUACUUGUGAACCACUCCAUUUUAGUCAAAUUUAAACUCCAUAAAAAUCACAUAAGUUCAAAUGUGACACCCUUCAUUGCCCACACCAUGUGUCAAUUUCAUAUCAUCUUUUAAGCAUAUAAAUGUGCAAUACAACAGUAGCAGUACUAAAUCAGCAUAGGAAUUUUAUGCUUCUUGAGACUCCGGUUCAACUUGUUUACACAUCUUGUAUCUUAAAAAAUUUCACUUUUUUUUAUAGAAUCUAAUAGAAAUUAAAAAAAAAACUAGGGCUCAAGUCUUAGCUGCCUUAGGCUUGUCGCAGCCUCUGAUAUCUACUGGUCGUGUGUUAAAUAGGGCACAAUUACGAUGCGUGUGUAGUAUAUAUGUGUCUUCUAUCAAGAAAAAAAUGAUUAAAAAUAGGAACUCUAAAAGUGCAUAAUUGUUUGCAUUCACUAACAACAAAAUACAAAGGAUUACCGAGCCCACUGACAAGUAUCGGGUACAAGCUUCAGAAUCAUCUCCCGUCCGAGAGAACCGAAGCAGAUGACAUUGUACCAACACUAUUAUCUAACAAAGAGGACCACACGGGUAAACUAUGUGAACCAACCCCAUUCUGUAGCAUCAACUCCAUCAUGUUAUAGCUCAUGUGCGUCGGUGAUAGCUCUGGUGCUGGAAGCAUACCAUCGAGGUACUUCACAACUUUGUCCAUGCUUGGCCUUGCCUUGGGCAAUGGAUGUGAGCACAUUAGUCCUAGUUUCAAAACAAGAUUCACCUCCUCGAAGCUGAACCUCCCUGCAAGCCGGGGAUCCACCACGUUAAGGAUGGAUCCGCUAAGAAAAUGCUUCAGCACCCAAUCUAUUAAUAGAAUCUCGUUGCUAUCGCUUUCCCCAAUCGGCCUUCGUCCACAGGUGACCUCGAGGAGGAACACACCGAACGCGAACACGUCCGUCAACGGUGUUGCCUUCCCCGUGUGCAUGAGCUCUGGGGCAAUGUAACCCAUAGUUCCUACCACGUAUGUGGUCUUUGCAUCGGCUCCAUGAUCCCGUAGCCUUGACAAGCCGAAAUCCCCUAAUAGUCCAUUCAUCUCGCUGUCUAGAAGAACAUUGCUUGCCUUGACAUCUCGAUGGAUCACUACUUGCUCCCAAUCCUUGUGUAGGUACGAUAAUGCCGACGCAACACCUUUGAUGAUGUGGAUCCUCUUGGGCCAACAGAGUGUGGUUGAUGUAGCAUUAUCAUGCAAACACUUGUCAAGACUACCAUUUGUCUUGUAGUCAUAAACAAGGAGAAGUUCUCCCUUGCGCCGACAGUAACCCAGGAGCCGCACGAUGUUCCGGUGUCGGAUACGGCCGAUGCUUACCACCUCAGCAAUAAACUCUCUCAUCCCUUGUCUUGAAUUGUGUGACACCCGUUUCACCGCUAUCUCUGUAUUGGACACGGGAAGCACACCCUUGUACACGCUCCCAAACCCUCCCGCACCGAGUAGGUUCUUGUCUGUGAAUCCCUGCGUAGCAUGAAACAGAUCCUUGUAUGUGAACCGAUGCGGACCAAACUCAACCUCCCAAUCUUCGCGCACCUCCGCAAACUGCCGGUGCCACCUUCUCACGAAGAAGACACCCAGAACAAACGCAACAAGAAACAGUAGUGCACUGGCAAUCGGCAACACAACAUACAGCAUUACUGACCGACGUGUAGGACCCACUCGUGGCACCUUGGGCAGCAUGGAGAAGUCCAGUGAGGGAGCAGCUCCGCCGUCGAAGCUGAAGCUCCAUCCGAGGACGUAGUGGUGCGUGAACACGACGCCCGUCGCCGACGAGAAGCCGACGUACAUCUCCUCGGCCAUGACCGUGGAGAGGUCGAUGGCUUGGGAGAGCAGAGGCUUCUUGGGCUUGGGCACUUGCACGGGAGACAGCGUCACGUUGAGCUGCUUGGCCUGGCCGUCGUAGUCCACCCACACCUGCAUUGGCUUCUGGCUGUUGAGCUGCAGGCUCCGGAACGCGCCGUCGCCGUCGACAUAGUAGCCGGCGGUCUUCGCCUGCAGCGACCUGAGGCUAUUGACGUCGACGCCGACGUGGUUGCUGUCGAUGUCGCCGAACUCGGGGUUCGUGAUGAUGUCGAGCUCGACGGCGAACACGUGGUUGCUCGGCUUGCCGUCGUCGGCCAUGCUGAGGAGGCCCAGGUACUGGCCGGCGUUCGCCGUGGAGAGGUUCUUGGUCGGGGAGACCACGAACGCGAGCCCAUGGUCGACGUUGUUCCUGAACCUGGGGUCGUCGGACACGAUGGCGAACACGAACGACGUCGAGAAGGACCGCACGGUGGCGGCGGCGGACGACGACGUGUUGAGGAAGCGGAGAGGCGCAGGGUGGAACGCGUGGGCUUUCGUUUGGUACGUGGCGUUGGUGAGCGCGAGGAGCCCGGUCGGCGUGACGGCGGCGAGGCCGUCCAUGGUGAGGUCCUCCGCCGUGAAGCCGUGGUGGACGAACCGGCCAUCGCUGGCUGCAGGGUUGGCCACCGCCGCUCCAAUGUUCACGCUAAGGCAGUGGAUGAACACGAUAUUGAUGAACACAACGAGCAUCGUUUUGCUGUGGAGUUGCAUUGUGAGUGUGACAAACGAAUCACACCAUGCUCAGGUCAGAUGAGAUCUCCAAACUUGAUUAAGCUACGUGUAAAUUAAGGGCAUGUUCUGAUGUUCAAGAUGCACGACCAGCUCAUGAACGAGCUGGAAUGUCCAAUGAUUGACAAUUUUGACUCUGAACAAAGUGUGAUCAAUUCUAUUAUUCCGCGCGACUUGCGUGGCUGCGUUUUCAGCUGAACUAGUCGUGUGUUGUUUCAGGUCAGUGAUUGUUUGAGACGGGAAGAAAGAUUAGUCGAAGAGAUUCCCUAGCCAAUAGUCAAACGAACAGUGCGCAGCCACCUGACGGCUGCACGCUCACCUGCUCGUCAUUCUUACGCCUGUACCUCCACAUCUCCACUGGCCACUGCUCGUUUUCUAGUUGGAUUAUUGGUGUAGGUCCAGCAGUCAACCUCAUCAAUGAUAAGGGACGAAAAUAAAUCGGAUACUUUUCGAUCCCAUCCGUACCCGAAAUGAGGAUAUAUGGUAGGUAUCUAAAAUUUGACGGAGAUAGAUAAAGAUAUGGUAUUACUGUAAUCCGAUGGAUGUGGAUUGUUUAAUUUUUUUACGCGGAUUAUUCGACAAAGUGCUAUUUAAGAUAAUCUGAUAUUUGUAAGGGCAUAUCAUCACACCCUAUGAUUGAACCAUACACCAUUAUAGUCUAUUCAAAUGACUAAUCUGUCUUUUUAAAACUUUGAGAGACUCUUUCGCUAGGUUGAGACUUGAGAGUAGCUUGUUUCGUUGUUUCUAAGUUAUUGUGUACGUAGUAAAAAAAUUUUAAAUUUGACCAAAUUUAUGAAAAAAUAUAGUAACAUUUUCAAUACAAAACAAACAUAAUUAAAUAUAUUUAACGUUAGAUUUAAUAAAACUAAUUUAAUGUUUAAAUUUGCUAAUUUUUUUUUAUAAAUUUGAUUGUAAAAAAAUUAAAACGUCUUAUUUAUACAUGUAUGAACUAUCCGAUCUGUUUGUAAUCCGAGUCCGCUAUGAGUCCAUACCACAUCAAGGCAUUAUUUGGAUAAUGUGAUAGGGAAAUAAUUUUCCAUCCAUCAAAAGAUAUCUUUAAAUCCUAACUAUUCAUUCUCCCUCUUCCAUUUAAUCUAACCCUUCAUUUAUUUCCCAAUCCCAAUCCCACCCUCCAUUUUCCAUUAUCCAAACACACCUCAAGUGUGUUCAAACUUCAAUGUGGUCUUAACUCUUAUACGAUUUUGCUAUAUAUUUAUCGACAAAUUUUCUCCCAAAAAUUUGACAGAUGUAAUUACAGUACAAUCGUAGUGUAAUUACACUGUAACUUGCAUGUAAUUACACUGUAACUAUAGUGUAACUUGUAUGUAACUUUCAAAAAUCUUUCUGUAAUAUGUUAUUUCGGUAAAAUGGAGGUUGUGGGAACAAAUCCUUAUACAUAUGUGUGUGCCGUGAUUUUUUUUCUUCCUCACCAAAACAAAUCUUGUAAUAGAUAUAACGAUUCAAAAUUACACAAGUUACACUGUAGUUACAUACAAGUUACAGUGUAAUUACAUAUAAGUUACAGUGUAAUUAUACUACGAUUGUACUACAAUUACAUCUGUCAAAUUUUUAGGAGAAAAUUUGUCGCCAAAUGUAUAGGUGGUCCCCUCUUAUAACUCUCUGGUAGUAGUAGCAUGCGUCUGUACAUUGGGCCACCUGGUAAUAAUAGAUGGCCCAUGCACAAUAGAGCAGCCGUGCGCCCGUGCACGUAGCCCAGACCAAAUACGUUAGCCGCCGCAUCCCUACGGCCCGCGGAGUGAUUUACUGCCUCGGCCCAAAUACGUCCCGGCCUCUUGGCCCACGCGUCCACUGGCGUCACGGCCCAGCGAAACCACCUGGCCCGCACGCACGCACACGCACGCGCGCACUCCUCCUCCCGUCCCGUUUCGCCCACGCGGCGAAACGCCGUGCAGACAAGUCACGCUUUUUCUCACCGUCACCGAUCCCUUUCUCUUCCUCUCUCGUCUCGACUCUCCUCCACGCUCCACACAGCCGUUGCCCCCGCGUCGUUGCGUUGCGUGCGGCCGUCGGGGAUGGCGACGAGCGGCGCGGCGGCACGUCCUCCAGUGGCCACCACCCUCUCCGCGCGCCGUGGCACGGCUCCCUCCGCCACCGCCGCCGCCGCCUCCUGCCCCGCGUCGUCGGCGCGGCGCACUACCUGGAGGCCGCGGGCGAGGCUCUCCUCGGGGAACGCGGCGCGGGCGCGGGCGCGGCUGCUGCGUGUCGAGGCCUCCUCCAUGGCCGACCCGGUCGAGGAGAGCCUCCCCGCGGCGCCGCACACGGCCACGGAUGCUCCGUUGGAGACUCAGCCCCAGGUGCGCACCAGGUAGGCACAAGUCUCCACUCCCCCACUCCAGUCUAUAGUUCAAGUGUUACCCUGAGUUAUUUUGCGUGUGACCUUGCUUACAGAGUUCCAGUUUCUCGUAUUUCUGGUUUCUAAAUUACCAUCUUGUUUGCGUAGCAUGUGGAAUUGGAAGGGCUACAACAUUCGGUACCAGUACGCGGGAACUUCUGGCCCUGCAUUGGUUCUAAUUCAUGGUUUCGGAGCAAACAGGUGCGUGGACUUUCUGUUUCAUAUCUGCAGGCAACCAAACUAAAAUUUUCAGUUAUCAUGCCAAUGGGGAGUUAGCUUAAGGCCAUGGCAGUGCAGUAGCUGUUGCUGCAACUGUUUUUUAGAUGCUUCUGUAGUUCUAUGUUGUAAAGGUUUAGGAGAAGAAAUGUUGGACCUAAUAUUUUGAGAAUUUUUUGGUUAGUGAUCACUGAUCACAUGUAAUCCUUAGUUAUUGUUAAAUCUUGGGCUGUGUUAAAUGUUGGUUUUAUGAUGAAACCUCAAGCUGCAUUACUUUUCCAAUAGUUUGAUUUGAUACAAUAAUGGGGACUACUAGUGUUUGUUUUUUAAUUAUCACACUACAUCACUUUUCUGCGUCAAAAAACACCCCAUCACUUUGCUUAGCAAUCAUGUACAGACUCCCCUCUUUUUUUUUUCCAGUGACCAUUGGCGGAAAAAUAUUCCUGUUCUUGCUCUGAAAAACAGAGUAUAUGCAAUUGAUCUUAUUGGUUAUGGCUAUUCUGAUAAGCCUAAUCCACGUGAGCUUGGUGAGAGCUUUUAUACUUUUGAGACAUGGGGAGAACAGCUGAAUACGUUUUGUGCUGAAGUUAUUAAGAGCGAAGCUUUCUUCAUAUGCAAUUCAAUUGGAGGUAUGCUCAGCUCCAUGCUUACAUACAUCAUACAUGAAAUGCAAUGGAUCAUAUGUUGUAUGUGUAACUAAUGGACGAGCAUAAGAAUGCAUGUCGCUCGAUGUAAUCCAUAAAAUUGCUUACUCUGCCAAAAGAACAUUUUUCAAAUUCCUCCCUUUGUUAUUUCAGAAAACACAUUUGAGUAGGGAAAAAGGAAGACCGUAAAUGAUGUCUAUGCUAGUUUAGUAGUGUUGUUCCUAUCUGUUACCCCCUCCGGUCAUUAAUAUAUAAACAUCAUAUAUUAAUGACUAGAGGGAGUAUUUCUGUAGUGAGUGGGUGCAUGAUGCUGUUCAAAAUUAUGGUGAUAUCAACUAGAUAUGUCAUAUGCGCUCAUGCUUCACAAUGGAAAUUGAUUUUCAUUAUACUAGAGUGUAUUAGCCUAGUAACUACUCCAGAAUGAUAUUUGGAGUAGUGUCCAAGAUGAGACAAGUUCUCUUCAUGUACCUCUAAAUUUUGAGGGGAGGUGCGAGUGAUACAUGUCACUGAUGAGUAUUUGUACGCAUGAAAAAGAAUUUAACAAGCACUUGUAAUGUGUUUAUUAUUGUCCUUCAGGGCUUGUUGGUCUACAGGCAGCUGCUAUGGAACCACAGAAGUGCAAGGGUAUCUUUUUAUUGAAUAUUUCAUUGAGGAUGCUUCAUAUCAGUAAGCAGCCAUGGUUUGGAAGGCCUUUCAUCAAAUCAUUCCAAAGUCUGCUACGGUAACUCAGAAUUUCAUAGUUUGUUGCGGGAUCCACAUACUUGUUACCUCCUUGUUACAAUCCCUUUUCUGGUUUUUAGGAAUACUGUUAUUGGGAAGCUGUUCUUCAGCGCUGUUGCUACACCAGAAUCUGUGAAAAAUAUUCUCUGUCAGGUGUAUAUUUAUUUAAUCCUCUCAUCUUGGAAAAUAAUCAAAGCAUAAGCAGAUUAUUGGGCAUAUACAAAAAUCUAUGGUAACACAACAUUCAGGCUUAACGUCCCAAAUUAAGUAAAAGCCACAUGACCUUGCUCCAAUGGCUGCAUUCUGUAGAAAGAAAAUCUUUAAUUCAUCAUCUUAAGUAUAGAACCUGUUUUUUUCCCUUUAUUUAGUUUGUAACAUAACUGUAACCUUUUUUCCACAAUGUUUUUUCUCCUAGUUCUGAUGGAAUUCAUUUCAGUGCUACCAUGACACAUCCGCAGUGACAGAUGAGCUAGUUCAGUUUAUUCUGCAGCCAGGGCUUGACCCUGGUGCUGUGGAUGUAUUCCUUGAGUUCAUCUGCUACUCAGGAGGUCCUCUACCUGAAGAAUUACUUCCCAGAGUGAAGGUUAGGUUUCCUGUGGUUCUGUGAGUGAUUAUUCACUUUGUUUUUUUAGAACUUAUUUCGGUUAUAUCAACUAUAUAUGAUUUUUUUUUUUUUUUGCAGUGUCCAGUUUUGGUAGCUUGGGGUGAGAAGGACCCAUGGGAGCCUGUGGAGCUUGGAAGAGCUUACGCAUCUUUUGAUACUGUUGAAGAUUUUGUUGUCUUGCCAAAUGUUGGACACUGCCCACAGGUCCUGUAACAGCUGAAAUCAGUUGAUUAAUUCUUUUUUGCAAUUUGCUUUGCUUUUAGCUAUAUUUUAUUUGAUAAGUUGGCAGCUGAAUCAUUUGUUUAUAAUUUUCCUUGCAGGAUGAAGCACCUGACCUUGUAAAUCCACUUGUCGAAUCAUUUGUUACACGCCAUAGUUAGCACAUGGCUGGGGCUGCUUUCUCUUUGUAUUAAAGCCCCUGACCCACUAAAAUCUGGUUUGCUGGAAAACGGGAACAACUAUUUUAUCUCAGGAUACCAGAUGGUCCCUUCUUUGUAGGCCAUGGUAAGUGUUUCUUUAGCCAUACAGUCGCAAGUUUGUGUGUAACUGACUCUGGGAAAUGGAAAUGUAAUUUUAGUUUUGUACUGUGCUUUGCAGUACUUGCAUUUGAGUAUUGGUGAUAACACACCUGACUGAUUGAAUUUCAAGGGAUGACGAAGGAAUCUGACUUAUUGGAGGGAACAAAGAACCUGUCUUCUCAAAGCAGAGGGGUUAGUACCAGCAGCAUGGAGGUUUUAUUCUGUUUUUAAGUUAUAACGAAAAUAAUGGCAAGUUCAUAAAUGUGAAAUUUCCACUAUUCUCUCUGCAAUCAUUCUUACUUGUAAUCUGACAGUAUGUAUAUAUAUGCCACUAGUAUUAGCAGUCCCCUCAGUAAAUUAAUUCUCUUAUGGCCACCCUGAAAUCUUCGCUCUUUUCAGUUCACGAUUUUGCAUGCUAGCCAAGUGGGUUUGUCCAAAAUAAACCAGCAAUGAAAACCAAAUACUUCAAAAUCGAAUGCUUAAUUUGCGCUUAUUCAAUGUAUAUCUGCAGUAUGCCUGUCAUAAUCUAGGAAAUAUCCGUAUUCAAUGUCCCAAAGAAAGGAAUAACAUGAUUUCAAUUUUGCUGAUGGAUAAAAGAUGUUGAACUGAAAGUCACUGUAGCAUGGCUGCAUGGGCUAGUGUCCCUCAUACUCAUCUUAUCUGGAGACAAUGUUUCCCAGUGUUUUGGCCAUGCCUAUCUCCAUCAUACAUGACAACUUGUGCUCUCUAUAUUAUCCUAUGCAUUCGUCUUUGUUUUCCAUAUUUAUACCAACCACUUCGUGAGGGUUUGGUCAGCGAAAUUGGGCAACGGCGUUGCAGCACAUGAGACAUGGAUUUUUCACUCAGAAAGUGAUUUCAUACCUUGAGGGGAUAUCCUCUCGUUUCGUAUAUGUCACCUAAAUAAUCAUAAAAAAUUGGUAAGAUAGAUUAAUAUGAAAUAUAUCACUCAAAAAACAUGCAAGUUAAAAGUCAACUUCUACAAGUUGUAACAAAAAUAACAAAUAUAGCUAUGAAUGUAAGAUAACUAUUUUCAGUUUUUUUUUGUUUUUUUUGUUGCAACUUGUAGAAGUUAAAUUUGGUCUUGCAUGUUUGUGGAGUGAUAUAUUUCAUAUUAAUCUACGUUGUCAAAUUUUUUUAAACUUUUUGAUAACUAUUUAGAUGACAUGCAAACAACGAGGGAACAUCCCUCGAGGGAUGAAAGUUCAUAUCUUUUUCGCUGGGAAUAUUUUUAGAUAGUUGAAAAACUACUCUUGUUACAUAUUUUUUGCUGGGAAUAUAUAAACUGUGUUCGAUCUACAGCAUGUGACUUCUGGAUCGGUCCAACUAAAGUUCUGCACUGUUUUUCACGGAACAUACAUCCGUUCAUCUCAAUGAUUAGAAAAUGGUCCAUAAUUGUGCAUGAGAAUAAAAUCAUGCCAUCCACUUCUUCAGUCUGUCACCAACAGUUAGUUAUUAAUCCUGAAAAUGCCCAAGUUGAUGUGACUAAAUGUAUAUGCAUGUCGAAGAAACGGAUAUUCCCAUUGUACAUCCUUUUCAAGUUUCUAAUGUCCCUUGCCUUUCAAUCUACGAGAUAAGCAUUUCUGAAUUUUUUUUAGCAGUCUACAGCAGCAUGCUGCUGUUCUUGCUCCAUGAAUCUGAAUACUUCCAUUGUUCAACUGGAGAGUGCAGAUAACCCAGAAGGCCAGAACUGCAAUCCACUUGCUCGACACAGUUUCUUGUCCCAGCAAGCUAGCUCUCCCCUCCACCACAUCAGCACCGGAAUUUUUCAACUCCGAGCACACCUCUCUGAUCAGGUCAGGUCAGCUUCAGCUUCCCCUCGUGCCAUUCGUGUGAACUACUACCAAGUCCUUAUCUGACCAAUAGCCAUGGUACGGUAUCUAUAGUAGAAGCUUAGAGAAAUGCCACAUUUGUCACUUGUGCCUAUCUGACCCAACCAAUCUUGCCGCGAGUCUGCAACAACCGCAGCUCAUGGCGCGUAGUGGUGGUUACUGGUUGCUGCUACCAACGUUCAGUUUGCAGCACGUUUUUUUCUCUCCUGUUCCAAUGAUAUGGUACAUCAUACUACAGUUCAGGAAGAGUACAAUUGUACAACGAACCUAUCAUACUGUCAUGUACUCCUGUCUGUCCACGCUGACCUCCAGCUAACACACAUGCAUCCACACAAGUUGAGGCAGGCAAGAAACACUAAACAACAUCGCCGUGUUUUCCUCAUGGAAGUGACGCUGACAUGCGUCGAUGCAAUAUUAAUUAUAGUGUGUCUGCAUUAGACUUGUGUCGUGGGAGAUGGAAGAGCCGUCAAGCCAAGCCACACCUUCUUAAAGACGGCCAAGCUAUGCGGGUAGGGAUCACUAGAAGUGAAGUCAUUGCCAUCAGGCACAGCCGCACAGGCAGAGCUGAGAGCUUAGGAGCACAUUGGUUUCUUGCAAGUAACCAUAGGCCAGAAGUAGACGAUAAGCUAGCUAGCUAAUCCAAGCCUGUGACUGUGAAGGAGUCGAGUCGUCUUUGCCAAGUCGCUGUGCCGUUGAAAGGGACAAGGGUCUCCUGGACAGAGAUCUCGCCCGUUAAAUUUGCCUCUCUUUUGCUUCUUUCCCUCCGAUCUCUAUAGCUGUGCAAGUGAAGGAAGAAAGGAACAGCCUGAAUUAUUUCUCCGGUUAGUCCCCGUCCUGUGUGUGUGCUAUGCGAAGGAGCAAGUGGUGUUUGCCUUGUUUUCCCAUGGCCAGCACGGCGGCGCUGCCCAUCGAGACGGCGUUCUCUCUUCCGGCUCCGUUGCCGUCGUGGCCGUCGUCAGGUACGUAUUGCAUAUUUGUGCAUACCUCGUGUUUUUUUUUGUUCUUCUGGUUAUUAUGUUAUUAUUUGCACGAAUGGUUUUGUGUACCUCUCGAAUGGAAUUGAUUUCUUGCAAAACUUGGUGAUCCUGAUCAUUACAGCACUUCGCUUCUUUUGCUAAAUUACUAAGGUUUGCCUUUCGAUACUCGGUUACUGUUCUUCUCACGCACAGCUCCACUUAGCAAAUUCUGAUUAUUAUUAUUUUUUUCAAUCUUGUCCUGAUCACGCAUUCAUCAUUAAUUUUCCUCUUGACUACAAGUCCAAUAUGAUUGGAACAUAUCCAGAGAAAAAUACAUGCAUGGCAAAUGCAGGAGUUAUAUGGCUAAAUGCAAAUAAGGCAGCUUUAGGCGAUGCUGGCGAGGUAGCUUACCUGCAAUGACGACUAGGAACAUACUUUGCUAUAUUCAUGGGCUACAAGAUCCUCCUCUAGUCCUCGGUUGCUCUGAAAUGCUCGUAUUGGUGUGCCCUUUUCUGAACAGACACUGAUAACCAUGAUUUCCAAAGAAUAUAUAUGUUAUCAAAUGAGAAUAGAAAGCAUAUACCAGCAUAAUCUUAUGCCUUCAUCUAGCUAGCCAGGGUUGUUUGGAAGACAAAUGCGCAUCUCUAUCCAGAACACCACAACUUGAAUAGACCAUUUCUGCUCUCUGUUGCUAUCAUUAUGACUUGCUAAUUUUUUCAGCUCUAUAAACACUUGGCUAAACGAAUUUCUAUUCUUAGUUAUGGCCUGCCAUUUUGAUAGGCCCAGUUUUGUGGUUUUGUCAACUCUGUAACAUCUUUGUCUGACUGGCGUUUGUUUGUUUGCUUGCUUGCUUGCUUCUUUUUCUUUUCGAGAUGCUGACUGGCCUUUCUGAAUUUUCAGUUUCAGAUGGAGGAUUUGCAAAGGGUAGCAUUGACCUUGGUGGUCUAGAGGUGCGCCAAGUCACCACGUUUGCCAAGGUCUGGUCCACCGGCCAAGACGGCGGCGGCGCCACCUUCUUCAGGCCGGAGCAGGUCCCCGCCGGCUUCAGCGCCCUCGGCCACUACGCGCAGCGCAACGACCGGCCGCUCUUCGGCCACGUCCUCGUCGCCCGCGACGUCUCCGGCGGCGGGCUCCUUGCCCCGCCGCUGGACUACGCGCCCGUCUGGUCCAGCCAGGACGACGCCGCCCACUUCUGGCUCCCCACGCCUCCCGAUGGCUACAGGGCGAUCGGCGUCGCGGUCACGGCCUCGCCGGACAAGCCGCCGCGCGACGAGGUCGCGUGCGUCCGCGCCGACUUCACCGACGCGUGCGAGGCGGAGGCGACGGUGUGGGACAAGGACGGGUUCAGCGCCGUCGCCCUGAGGCCGGCGGUUCGCGGCGUGGACGCCCGCGGCGUGCACGCCGGCACGUUCGUCCUCGCCAGGAGCGACGCGACGGCGGCGAGCGCGUCGGCGCUGGCGUGCCUCAAGAACAACGGCGCGGCGUACACGUCCUGCAUGCCCGACCUCGCCCAGGUGAACGCGCUCCUCGCCGCCUACGCGCCGCAGCUGUUCCUCCACCCCGACGAGCCCUACCUGCCGUCGUCGGUGACGUGGUUCUUCCAGAACGGCGCGCUGCUGUACCAGAAGGGUAGCCAGACCCCGACGCCGGUCGCCGCCGACGGGUCGAACCUCCCGCAGGGCGGCGGCAACGACGGCGGGUACUGGCUCGACCUGCCGGUGGACAACUUCCAGAGGGAGCGGGUCAAGAAGGGCGACCUCGCCGGCGCGAAGGUGUACGUGCAGGCGAAGCCGAUGCUGGGCGCGACGGCGACCGACCUCGCCGUGUGGUUCUUCUACCCGUUCAACGGCCCGGCGAGGGCGAAGGUGGGGCCCCUCACCAUCCCGCUCGGCAAGAUCGGCGAGCACGUCGGCGACUGGGAGCACGUGACCCUCCGCGUGAGCAACUUCUCCGGCGAGCUCCUCCGCAUGUACUUCUCGCAGCACAGCGCGGGCGCGUGGGUGGACGCGCCGCAGCUCGAGUACCUCGACGGCGGGAACCGGCCGUCGGCGUACUCGUCGCUGCACGGGCACGCGCUGUACCCGAGGGCAGGGCUGGUGCUGCAGGGCGACGCGAGGCUGGGCGUCGGGAUACGCAACGACUGCGACAGGGGGAGCAGGCUGGACACCGGCGGCGCCGGGCGGUGCGAGGUGGUGUCGGCGGAGUACCUCGGCGGCGGCGGCGGCGGCGUGGCCGAGCCGACGUGGCUGCUGUUCGACCGGGAGUGGGGGCCGAGGGAGGAGUACGACAUCGGCCGCGAGAUCAACCGCGUGGCGAAGCUGCUGCCGCGGUCGACGAGGGAGCGGCUGCGGAAGCUCGUCGAGAGCGUCUUCGUCGGCGAGGGCCCGACGGGGCCGAGGAUGAAGGGCAGCUGGAGAAACGACGAGAGGGAGGCCAAGUAAAAAUUUUGGCGGUUCUCAAAUUUCAGACGACGACACGCGGUGAUGACGAGUGAAAAGUUUAUUAUAUGGGGUUUCUCAAAUUCAAAUCAGAUUGUUACGGAGCAAUUCUGAAAAACGAUGACAGAGUGCAUGGUGAAAUAUAUUCUUUUAAGAUAAGAUUUAAUCAAACUUAAAAUUCCAAUCACAAUUGUUUCUCAAAUGUUUGGUUUUUUAAAAAAAUACUGUACAUAGAUUCACCAUAAGAACUCCUAUAAUAAUAUCAUAAAAUUUAUUGUAUUUUGUAAACUUACUCUAAAAAAAUUCUAAUACAAAAUGUCAUCUUAAAAAGUAAAUAUUUUUUAAACAUCAAAUAUUUAUGAUUGAAUAAAGUACCGUUGUACAAAAUUUCAAGUCAAACUCGACCAAAUAGAUCUAUAUUUUUUUUCCUUUUUCUUUCAAAUGUGUAUAUCGAACUUGCAGUUCACUUUCUUUACGAUGGUGUAUUUGUAUUGUAAAUAUAUCAUAUUUCUAGUAAUAUGUGAAAACAAAUGUAAUUUCUGGUAAAUUUCACUUUUAAGUAAGUUUUAUAUUUUUCUUCUCAUUUUGACGCAACUUAUGCUUAUACUUAUUAGCCAAAAUUUAAUUUUUCAACAUUUAAUCUGAAGCUGAUUUUAGGGGUUUUUCAUCGAAUUUUAUUUUUCAUCACUAAAAACACGUACAUAAAAGUUUUAUUUAUAAAUUAUAUUUCGUUUGUAUAAAUAUAUUGUUUGGCUUCUUCCCCGAAUAAGCUAAAUGAUUGGGCUGUACCUUCCUCUCCGCAGCCAUAGGAUAACAAACGCACGGUUCUCAUCUUCCAUCGUCACUCACCGACACCAUCCGUAGGUCUUCCAGGAGCUCCUUCCUGCCACGUCAUCAAUGGCGAUGAUGGGUGGCUGACAGUCAAACGCACCCCACGCCUCCUCCCCUUCCCCCCUCUCUCCCUCCAUGGCUUCCCUCGCCUCCCCUCCUCUCCCCUGCCGCGCCGCCGCCACCGCCAGCCGCAGCGGGCGUCCUGCUCCGCGCCUCCUCGGCCCUCCGCCGCCGCCCGCUUCCCCUCUCCUCUCCUCCGCUUCGGCGCGCUUCCCGCGUGCCCCCUGCAACGCCGCACGCUGGAGCCGGCGCGACGCCGUGCGGGUAAGCUUGCCAAAUCCCGGUCCAUAAUUUCCUAUUAGUUAGUCAAUGCGAGGUCAUUAUCUAAAAAAAACGUCAAUGCGAUGUUACCUGCCGCUGAGCACGAGUAAUUUUUGUGUACUAUUGCUCUGAUUGAUUACAGAUAGAAAAACAUAAGGCUAAUUGGAUCGAUUAAACAUGAGCAGCUUGUAAUAAGUUGUUAAUCUUGCGGAGAGCCUAGGUAUGCUUGGGGAUAUAGUAAGUGACAUUGCCAGUGUGCCGCAGCAAGUUCGGCUGCUAUGCUCGCUAGGUUAGCUAGCAGGAAAGUGUGACACCCGAACUCCCGAAGCAAGUGUAUAUUCAUUUUUCGGGGCUACAUUAUCACUUCAUUUCACUAUAUUUCGUCUGGAGCAUGCAAUGUCGCUGUUUCUUUUUCUGAAUGUAGCAUUGGCACACAUAAUGAUCUUGUGCUGCAUCUUAGAUGAAUGUUUGAAGCUAAUUUGGUUUGAUUAGUUCCAGAGCCAACAUUGUACAACAUAUGUUAUCUCUUGCUCGAAAUUUGUGAAAGCUUGUGCCUAGAUGAGGCAUUCUUUGCUAAAGCAGUGAUUCUGGCUGGAAGCAAGCCAGCAAUAAACACAAAUGAUUCAGGUUUAACUAUGAAUAAGCUUGUAGAUUUAAGGCACUUAGAGAGUGCAAACAUGGAUUCUAUUAUGUAACUCAAUCUGAGUUUGAAGGUAUGGAUAGAUGCGUUGAGACUUCAUCUAUCAGGCACCAUUCGGAGCUACCAGUCUCAACGCAUCUAUCCAUACCUUCAAAAAUGGUAAAGGUGGUGCCUGAUAGAUCCGAAUUCCAAUAUGAAGCAGUUCGCAUAAGUCUAAAGAAAGCAAUCUUGCGGAUGUUCUUGUAGUGAUUGAGACAUUUAUUUUUCUUGAGCCAAUUGUUUUCUAGCAAAUAGUCAGUACUUUAACAGAACUGUGAGAAUUAGUGUUACCAGAUGCAGGGUUCUAAAAAGGCUUAGAUAUGUUGGGCAUGAUCUGUUGGGUAUUUGGCCUUAUAACAAGUAUGAUGGCUGAGAUGACCUGUUUAAAUGCAUUACUCUGCUCAGGCAUAUUAUUCAUGAUAGCUAUGAAUGAAUAAUAUGCCUAUGAAUGCAUUACUCUGCUCAGGCAUAUUUUUGUUACUUAUUUUCUAUGCUUAUUUAAAAACACUGUGUGCCUUGUAUGCAUAACGAUGUUGAACCUGGUACAGGUUUGCUCUCAAGCUGGUGCAGCUGGACCAGCCCCAUUAUCGAAGACAUUGUCAGACCUCAAGGAUUCCUGCUGGAGAUUUUUACGGCCACAUACAAUUCGAGGAACUGCCUUGGGAUCCAUGUGUGGUUCUAGUUUUCCUUUUAUAUUGGUCAAAUUUGAGUUUUCAUCUUUUGGUGCUAAUUUUGCUGUGUUAAUACAGAGCAUUAGUUGCUAGAGCUUUGAUAGAGAACCCCCAACUGAUAAAUUGGUGGUUGGUAUUCAAAGCGUUCUAUGGGCUCGUGGCGUUAAUCUGUGGCAAUGGUUACAUCGUUGGGAUCAAUCAGAUCUAUGACAUUAGAAUCGAUAAGUAUGUAUAAUCUCUCUAUAGAUUCAUAUAAGAAAUUAUGGUGAUGUUAUGAAUUACCAUUAAGAACAAAAUUUCCUUGCCUAUUUCUUUUAACUGUAUUCUGACAUUUCUAAUUUUAUGCUGCUUUACAGGGUAAACAAGCCAUAUUUACCAAUUGCUGCCGGUGAUCUCUCAGUUCAGACAGCAUGGUUAUUGGUGGUAUUAUUUGCAGCUGCGGGAUUUUCAAUUGUUGUGACAAACUUUGGACCUUUCAUUACCUCUCUAUAUUGCCUUGGUCUAUUUCUUGGCACCAUAUACUCUGUUCCUCCAUUCAGACUUAAGAGAUAUCCUGUUGCUGCUUUUCUUAUCAUUGCAACGGUACUUUGCUCCUAUCUUCUCUUUGUUCACUUCAGUAACCAUUGGAUUUUUUUUUAUCUGUUUGUUUUUGUGUUUAGAAGCAUUCUUAACGUAGUUUGUUAGCAAUGUAUUGCUGGUCGAAUUGUGGUUACUCAAAAUAAAAUAGAACACCUAAUCUUUUCAUUCAAAGUGCAUGUAAUCAGAGCACUUUAACUCAUCUGAUUCAAAGUUGGACUGACUGAAUCUAUGAUAUAUUUUUUGUCAACAAAUAAUCUGUGAGAUAUACCUAGUAAGUAUCUGAACUCAUCUGGUUCGAAGCUUAUGAAAGUGAAAGACCUAUUUGCCAACUGAGCAUGACUGAGAGCUAGCAGUGCGACUAGCAAAUCACCUCAACCAUUCCUCUUGCUAUUCUAAUUUUCGAGAAUAGAUCUUGUAAUACCUUCUGAACAAUUGUUCCUUGGUUCCCUAAUAGUUAGCAAACAAUGCACUGUGCAAUUCAGAAACUUUAAAAUCCCCAUGUUUAUGCUGCAUAUGAUUUUGAUUACUAACUCAUAUUUAUUUUUCAAUAUUUCAUUCAUUAUAUAUAUAUAUAUAUUUUGACAAACCCACCAUUCAAUUUUUAUUAGGUC